rnacentral:rRNA from 1 species
AUUGAACGCUGGCGGCAUGCUUUACACAUGCAAGUCGAACGGUAGAGGGGGCAACCCCUUGAGAGUGGCGAACGGGUGAGUAAUGCAUCGGAACGUGCCCAGUCGUGGGGGAUAACGCAGCGAAAGCUGUGCUAAUACCGCAUACGAUCUCUGGAUGAAAGCGGGGGACCGAAAGGCCUCGCGCGAUUGGAGCGGCCGAUGUCAGAUUAGGUAGUUGGGGGGGUAAAGGCUCACCAAGCCAACGAACUGUAGCUGGUCUGAGAGGACGACCGGCCACACUGGGACUGAGACACGUCCCAGACUCCUACGGGAGGCAGCAGUGGGGAAUUUUGGACAAUGGGCGCAAGCCUGAUUCAGCAAUGCCGCGUGCAGGAAGAAGGCCUUCGGGUUGUAAACUGCUUUUGUACGGAACGAAAAGGUCUGGGUUAAUACCCUGGGCACAUGACGGUACCGUAAGAAUAAGCACCGGCUAACUACGUGCCAGCAGCCGCGGUAA